rnacentral:rRNA from 1 species
GGGGAUGGGCGGCCUUACCAUGCAGUCGAGGGGUAUAUGUCUUCGGAUAUAGAGACCGGCGCACGGGUGCGUAACGCGUAUGCAAUCUACCUUUUACAGAGGGAUAGCCCAGAGAAAUUUGGAUUAAUACCUCAUAGUAUAGUGACUCGGCAUCGAGAUACUAUUAAAGUCACAACGGUAAAAGAUGAGCAUGCGUCCCAUUAGCUAGUUGGUAAGGUAACGGCUUACCAAGGCUACGAUGGGUAGGGGUCCUGAGAGGGAGAUCCCCCACACUGGUACUGAGACACGGACCAGACUCCUACGGGAGGCAGCAGUGAGGAAUAUUGGACAAUGGGCGCAAGCCUGAUCCAGCCAUGCCGCGUGCAGGAUGACGGUCCUAUGGAUUGUAAACUGCUUUUGUACGAGAAGAAACACUCCUACGUGUAGGAGCUUGACGGUAUCGUAAGAAUAAGGAUCGGCUAACUCCGUGCCGCAGCCGCGGUAAUACGGAGGAUCCAAGCGUUAUCCGGAAUCAUUGGGUUUAAGGGUCCGUAGGCGGUUUAUAAGUCAGUGGUGAAAGCCCAUCGCUCACGGUGGAACGGCAUUGAUACUGCUAACUUGAAUAUUAGGAAGAACUAGAAAUGUAGUGUACGGUGAAUGCUAGAGAUACAUGGAUACCAUUGCGAAGCAGGUACUACUAUGGAUUGACCUGAUGACGAAGCGUGGUAGCGACAGGAUAGAUACCUGGUAGUCACGCCGUAACGAUGGAACUAGCUGUGGAAGCAUUUCAGUGCUAGCGAAGUGAUAGUAUCCACCUGGGGAGACGUCGCAAGAUGAACUCAAGGAUUGACGGGGCCGCACAGCGGGGAGCUGUGGUUAAUUCAUGAACCCAGGACCUACCAGGUUAAUGAGUUGACGAUUGGAACAAUCUUCCAAACAAUACAGGUCUGCUGGUGCCUCACUCUGCCUGAGGUCAGUAAUCUAAACAGCCACCCUGUGUAUUGCACCAUCAGUCGGACCUACAGAUGCAUGCACUGGAGAAGGGGAUACUCAUCUCCGCCUACCUGGGUCACUGUCAGGCGGCAAAGACCCUGGGACGACGAUUAAACGUCAUCGACGAUUGACCACCCGACGGAUCUGAACGAUACCAACCGGAAAUCCGCUGUAACCCCCACGGAAGGGGCGACGGCCAGCCGGAUGAGUAUUUAAAGCAUAUAGAUA